CUGCCACGCCCCAUCUUUGCGGGCCCGCCCCAGACGCUGGUGAUGGGCCGGUGCACUCUGCAGUGACCAGUGCCCACUUUGAGUCACUGCAGCACGAGUUCGCUGGUGGACAAUCUGAAACUGUAAGAAACAGAGCAAGAAGACCUUGGCAGAUGUGCUAUAAGGUCAGAUCUGGAGAAACUGAGAGAUGUCUCUGGUUUCUUGUCUGGGUGGGAAUUCCGCCAUCUGAAUCUAAAUUUGAGUAAAAAUCUGGCUAAUCAAUGCACCAUCGGAAUCUGAGUAGCUACUGGGGAGUUUGCCUCUCGACCGUGAAUCUGAAACGGAAUUCCAAGCCUUUGAGAUGGCCCCUUUUGCCUAAGUGCUGUUUGUUUGUUUGUCUGUUGUUUGUCUUGACAGUACAGAUCUGACUGGGACACAACCUAGCAUGGGACAGAUACCCUCUUCCUCUCCAGAUCUCUGCCUAACCCAUUGAAAGAACAUGAAACAAAAAAAUCUGGGAUCGUGACUAAAAAUGUUGGGAAAAAUUUUUUUCUUUCAGGUACGCUGGCAGCCCACGACACUCUGUACUCACCAGCGCUGCUCCCCCUCCCUUCUAGUCUGUAUACUUUAUGCUCUUACUUCCAGUAACUAAAAACAAAUCGUCAUUUAUGGUGGCUACACUCAGUAGCUCCCAUGAAAGAUGGAUAACCCAACUGCUGCCUGUUGGUCUGUACCUUCCUGCUGAGUCCUGGUUCCUGGACGCAGUGUUUCUGCACUAUGACUCACCUUGGGCGGCUGACAGCCAACUCAAGUAAAAUGGCCAAGGUACAGGUUUUAAUGGGUUAAUAUAAUGUUGCCAUCUGUAUAUCCUUGGUAAUAAAAUGUCUGUUCAUGUCUUUUG